GACGAACGCUGGCGGCGUGCUUAACACAUGCAAGUCGAACGGAAAGGCCCUUCGGGGUACUCGAGUGGCGAACGGGUGAGUAACACGUGGAUGAUCUGCCCUGCACUUUGGGAUAAGCCUGGGAAACUGGGUCUAAUACCGAAUAUGAUCAUCGGCUUCAUGGUCGGUGGUGGAAAGCUUUUGCGGUGUGGGAUGGGCCCGCGGCCUAUCAGCUUGUUGGUGGGGUAAUGGCCUACCAAGGCGACGACGGGUAGCCGGCCUGAGAGGGUGACCGGCCACACUGGGACUGAGAUACGGCCCAGACUCCUACGGGAGGCAGCAGUGGGGAAUAUUGCACAAUGGGCGCAAGCCUGAUGCAGCGACGCCGCGUGAGGGAUGACGGCCUUCGGGUUGUAAACCUCUUUCAGCACAGACGAAGCGCAAGUGACGGUAUGUGCAGAAGAAGGACCGGCCAACUACGUG
rnacentral:rRNA from 1 species